AAUUGUACAAAGAAAUCAAACACUAAUGAAUCUAAUUAAGGUUUAUUUUACAGGGAAUGUGCAGUGGGAGACUUAAACAGAAGUGGGUACUGGCCUGCAACCCUUCAAUUCACCACAAUUUAUGCCAUAGAUAUCUUGUUUUCAUUUCAAGAGAUGAAGAUGGCGGCACCAGGACUGUCCUGUCAAGCAUUUUUUAAGAAUGCUGGAUCAGCGAACUGUCUGCUUUGGUCGUACUGGCAAGAUCUCAGCAGACAGUUUUCAGAAAAGUUUUUUUGAGUGGGAGGCUGUGCGAUUCAAGGUGGACAAUAUUUGCAAGGAAGAGCCUUUCAUCUGCCCUGCAUGCACCCCAGAGAUGCUUGCAGUUCAGUAGAUCAUUUCAAGAAUACUGCUAGAUCUGAGGAACCGGCCAUCUUUGAAGGUGUCUUUAUAGCCAAGGAUAAAGAUGUUACCAGAUUUGUGGACUACAUUCACAACACAACCACAACGAAAAGCUUGCCAGAAAACAGGAUGUAACCUGUGAAAUGGAGUGGGGCAAAUGCAGGAUGUUGCUGUAUUAACACUAGGAGAGGAGGUGGGACAGUGCAGUACCUUCCUCUCUAGGAUUGCAGUGACUACAAAACAAUUGUGAAAAGCAGGACGCGCAGACAAUCUGCCUCUCAUGGCCAUGCGCUGGAAUCAGCAAAAGUUUAACAAUUUAGCCAUCUCAAUUACUCGUCGAUAUCAGAAAACCAAAAAGCUCUGGAAAGCCAGUUAGAAAACCUAGAGUCCAUGAAAGCCCAAUUGGCAGUGACAGAAAGCUAAUUGGAAGGCUAGACUCUGUACAUCUCCUGAAGUCUCCAAGCUGACUUAGGAGCAGAAGAUGCUUGUUGCAGAGAUGGACCAUCAUUGGAAAUCUCUAAGCUUGUGCUGAUGCCAUCAGAGAGCUGUCCUGCUUGUUUUCUAAUGAGACAAUGGAAAAUUCACCAUGUGGCCUAAGUGAAGAGGGUCUAAAAGGUCUGCUGAGCACCAUUCUCAGAGAGCAACAUAAAAUCAGAAAAAUUUGCAAGCAAUAGACUGUUACCUACAAGUUUUGUCUGGAGCAGAGAACAUCAACUUCUUGUACAGUGCUUCACCUGAUGAGUACGACAGUGACUUUGACAUUUCUGAUGAUGGUCUGUAAUCCACAAGACUGUCACCUUCCAUCAUUCUGGACAAAGACUUCUAACUGUCAAUAUAAAGCAUUUAAUAAAAUCUACUUUUCAUAA